rnacentral:rRNA from 1 species
GAUGAACGCUGGCGGCGUACCUAAUACAUGCAAGUCGAGCGAACAGACGAGGAGCUUGCUCCUCUGACGUUAGCGGCGGACGGGUGAGUAACACGUGGAUAACCUACCUAUAAGACUGGGAUAACUUCGGGAAACCGGAGCUAAUACCGGAUAAUAUAUUGAACCGCAUGGUUCAAUAGUGAAAGACGGUUUUGCUGUCACUUAUAGAUGGAUCCGCGCCUCAUUAGCUAGUUGGUAAGGUAACGGCUUACCAAGGCAACGAUGCGUAGCCGACCUGAGAGGGUGAUCGGCCACACUGGAACUGAGACACGGUCCAGACUCCUACGGGAGGCAGCAGUAGGGAAUCUUCCGCAAUGGGCGAAAGCCUGACGGAGCAACGCCGCGUGAGUGAUGAAGGUCUUCGGAUCGUAAAACUCUGUUAUUAGGGAAGAACAAAUGUGUAAGUAACUAUGCACGUCUUGACGGUACCUAAUCAGAAAGCCACGGCUAACUACGUG